rnacentral:miRNA from 1 species
AGCCCACUUACCUCCUCGACAU